rnacentral:rRNA from 1 species
UACGGAGGAGGCAAGCGUUAUCCGGAAUUAUUGGGCGUAAAGCGCGCGCAGGCGGUUCUUUAAGUCUGAUGUGAAAGCCCACGGCUCAACCGUGGAGGGUCAUUGGAAACUGGAGAACUUGAGUACAGAAGAGGAAAGCGGAAUUCCACGUGUAGCGGUGAAAUGCGUAGAGAUGUGGAGGAACACCAGUGGCGAAGGCGGCUUUCUGGUCUGUAACUGACGCUGAGGCGCGAAAGCGUGGGGAGCAAACAGG